rnacentral:rRNA from 1 species
UACGUAGGAUGCGAGCGUUGUUCGGAAUUACUGGGCGUAAAGAGUACGUAGGCGGUAAUGUAAGUUUAAUAUUAAAGACCGAAGCUUAACUUCGGGAAUGUAUUGAAAACUGUAUUGCUAGAGGUUAAUAGAGGAAGUCGGAAUUCUCAGUGUAGCGGUGAAAUGCGUAGAUAUUGGGAAGAACACCAGUGGCGAAAGCGGACUUCUGGGUUAAUACUGACGCUGAGGUACGAAAGUGUGGGGAGCAAACGGG